UACGUAGGGUGCAAGCGUUGUCCGGAAUUAUUGGGCGGAAAGAGCGUGUAGGCGGCCAGGUAGGUCCGUUGUGAAAACUCGAGGCUCAACCUCGAGACGCCGAUGGAAACCAUCUGGCUAGAGUCCGGAAGAGGAGAGUGGAAUUCCCGGUGUAGCGGUGAAAUGCGCAGAUAUCGGGAAGAACACCCGUGGCUAAGGCGGCUCUCUAGUACGGUACUGACGCUGAGACGCGAAAGCGUGGGGAGCGAACAGG
rnacentral:rRNA from 1 species